CUACGGGCCGCAGCAGUCGAGAAUCUUCCGCAAUGGGCGAAAGCCUGACGGAGCAAUGCCGCGUGUAGGAUGAAGGCCUUUGGGUCGUAAACUACUGUCACCGGGGAUGAAUAAUGACAGUACCCGGAGAGGAAGCCACGGCUAACUACGUGCCAGCAGCCGCGGUAAUACGUAGGUGGCGAGCGUUGUUCGGAUUUAUUGGGCGUAAAGGGUUCGUAGGGGGUUAGCUAAGUCUGAUGUGAAAUCCCGCGGCUCAACCGCGGAACUGCAUUGGAAACUGGCAGACUAGAGGAUCGGAGAGGAGAGUGGAAUUCCGGGAGUAGCGGUGGAAUGCGUAGAUAUCCGGAAGAACACCGACAGCGAAGGCAGCUCUCUGGACGAUUUCUGACCCUGAGGGACGAAAGCGUGGGUAGCAAACAGGAUUAGAUACCCUCGUAGUC
rnacentral:rRNA from 1 species